GGUAGAUGAGCCUAUUCCACAAGGUGUGUUGGCUCCACCCUUGUUAAGUGAAACCGGCCAGUUCCAUACCACCGAGGAUGAAAACAAGAUUGGUGAAGAACAGCACUGCCCUCCGGUGGCCAGAUGAAUUCUUCUCAGAGUUUGCAGAUGGUGAAAGCUGAUGUAUCACCCUUCCUUGAUGUUUCCCACUGGGCACCAAGAAAUGAAAAGACAAAAAGCCAGGCUAUGGGACAGAGAAAGGAAGCAUCGGCUGAAGAUGUGAAGAGAUGAAAAUUGUGUAACUUGGGUAGCAGUCCUCACUUACUGUCCACAUAUGAAGAUAUUUCAUAUAUAUCCAUCAGUAAUGUCCUAUGGGAGGGUUAAUGUUAUCGAGCUAUCUAACAGUAAAAGAACAGGGAUAAAUUAGCUGUUAGAUAUAAAUUGUAUAAUUAAAUAUUUUAAAAGGUCAAUCUGUAAGACACAGAAGAUACUAAUUCAAAUUAGGCCUAGCAUAUAAAACAUGAAGGAAUAAGUGUAUUUUAAUGACCAAAGUGCUGCAUAGAAUUACAUAAUAUUCCUGUCUUGUGGUGUCAUAGAACUACCUCAUCACAUCCUGUGUUACCUGUUUUAAUUGUAUGUUAAAUGGUAGGGAAAUGACAUAAGAUAGAAGAAAUAAGCAGCUGCCAUCCACUUAUAAUUCUGUUUCAUUUUAUCAUGGGAUUAUUAUUGUAAAGAUAUGUAGUACACAAAAACUGUUUGAUUAAGUUUAUCUAAACUUUUCUGUUAUAUAAUGCACUUCGCCUUUAAACCCAAUCAGAAAUUGUUUUUCUUAUUUUGUCAUCUGGGAGUUUUUUGCUUUAAUUUUAUAUCAUUAGUUAUAUUUUCGUUUUUGUGAUAAAUUAUGUAAUCUGUAACAGAUAGAAAGUGACAGUGAAAAAUAUGUCCUGAAACACAGGAAGAUUACUGAACCAUAGGUAUACAGGCUAUGAUGAUUCCAGUAUUCUCUGCUAACUCUUACAUCCUUUAACAGCUGUUGAAAAAUAAAUAUAUUUUUUCACUAUUAGUUGCUAAGUAUGAUUAAGAAAAAAAUAUUAUCUUAAUGAAUAUUCCUGCAAUUUAGAGCCAUAGUAAGUGACAGUACUUUACUGAUUCUGAUGAAUAAGUAAAAAAAUAAAAUACUAUUUUCAUUGAUA